rnacentral:rRNA from 1 species
AGUUUUGAGCUAAAUAUAUUAUAAUAUUAGUUAUUUAUAAAGGUGUUGUAAAACCUUAUUAAAAAUUAUAUUUAGGGGUGAUAGGCCUUUCAAAAACUAAGAUAUCUUGAAUCUAAUUAAAAGUAUGUAGUACAUUCGACAUAACUAUUAAGUGAUUAGGCUUUAUAGAAUUAUUAACUUAUAAAGAUUUUAUUUACUAUAAUUUAAUAAUUAAGUAUGUAAAUAUAUUAAUAUAUAUAUAUUAUAAUUUAUAAAGAGUAAUUAGAUAAAUUAAAGUUCAUAAAUUUUGUAAUAAUGUUAAUAUUAGUAUUAAGUUUAUAUUUAUAUGAUGAACUCGGCAAAAAUGCUUCUCAACUGUUUAUCAAAAACAUAACUAUGUGAAUUAAUACAUAGCGGUUUCUGCUCAA